rnacentral:rRNA from 1 species
UACGGAGGAUGCGAGCGUUAUCCGGAUUUAUUGGGUUUAAAGGGUGCGCAGGCGGAAUGUCAAGUCAGCGGUAAAAUUUCGGGGCUCAACCCCGGCCCGCCGUUGAAACUGGCUGGCUUGAGUUGGGGAAAGGCAGGCGGAAUGCGCGGUGUAGCGGUGAAAUGCAUAGAUAUCACGCAGAACUCCGAUUGCGAAGGCAGCAUACCGGCGCUCAACUGACGCUCAUGCACGAAAGCGUGGGUAUCGAACAGG